UUGGAGGGCAAGUCUGGUGCCAGCAGCCGCGGUAAUUCCAGCUCCAAUAGCGUAUAUUAAAGUUGUUGCAGUUAAAAAGCUCGUAGUUGAAUUUCGGGGUCAGCAGGUUGGUCGUGCCAAUGGUAUGCACUGGCCUUGCUGAUUCCUCCCUCUUGAUGAGCCGUAAUGUCAUUAAUUUGGUGUUGCGGGGAAUCAGGACUGUUACUUUGAAAAAAUUAGAGUGUUUAAAGCAGGCAAGCGCUUGAAUACAUUAGCAUGGAAUAAUGAAAUAGGACGUUUGAUCCUAUUUUGUUGGUUUCUAGGGUUGACGUAAUGAUUAAUAGGGAUAGUUGGGGGCAUUAGUAUUCAAUUGUCAGAGGUGAAAUUCUUGGAUUUAUUGAAGACUAACUACUGCGAAAGCAUUUGCCAAGGAUGUUUUCAUUAAUCAAGAACGAAAGUUAGGGGAUCGAAGACGAUCAGAUACCGUCGUAGUCUUAACCAUAAACUAUGCCGACUAGGGAUCGGAUGAUGUUAAUUUUUUAAUGACUCAUUCGGCGCCUUACGGGAAAC
rnacentral:rRNA from 1 species